CUUUAUGAGAGUUUGAUCCUGGCUCAGAAUGAACGCUGGCGGCGCGCCUAAUACAUGCAAGUCGAGCGAGAAGACGUAGCAAUACGUUUGUAAAGCGGCGAACGGGUGAGGAAUACAUGGGUAACCUACCCUAGAGUGGGGAAUAACUAGCCGAAAGGUUAGCUAAUACCGCGUACGCUUCUUGGACUUCGGUUCAGGGAGGAAAGCGCUACCGAGGGUAGCGCGCUCUUGGAUGGGCUCAUGUCCUAUCAGCUAGUUGGUGAGGUAAUGGCUCACCAAGGCUUCGACGGGUAGCUGGUCUGAGAGGACGAUCAGCCACACUGGCACUGCGACACGGGCCAGACUCCUACGGGAGGCAGCAGUAAGGAAUAUUGCGCAAUGGGCGAAAGCCUGACGCAGCGACGCCGCGUGGGGGAUGAAGUCCUUCGGGUUGUAAACCCCUUUUAUCAGGGACGAAAAAAAUGACGGUACCUGGUGAAUAAGCAUCGGCAAACUACGUGCCAGCAGCCGCGGUAAUACGAAGGUGGCAAGCGUUAUUCGGAUUUACUGGGCGUACAGGGAGCGUAGGCGGUUUGGUAAGCCCUCUGUGAAAUCUCCAGGCUUAACCUGGAAAAGUCGGAGGGGACUGCUGGGCUAGAGGACGGGAGAGGAGCGCG
rnacentral:rRNA from 1 species